UUUGAGGUGGUUAGUCAAGAAGUAAUAAAGCAUCUACAGCUUUAAUCUCAUUUUCUCUUCCUGCUACUUUUUUUUUUAAUAUCUUUUCCCAACAAGGAGGGGACCAACGAGAUAAUGACUCAACUGCUACAGGGAUCCCAUAAACCAGACUUGAAUUUUGAAAAUCAUGAAUCAUCGACAGAGCUUAAUUAACCAAGAAGAGGUCCAACUGUUGUGUUUGCUGAAACAGCCAUACAUUCCUAGCUUUCCAAAUACUCCAGGCCGUUGAGACAACGAUUUCCAAUUGCUCUGACUGAAAGGAGUUAAUAAGAUUAAAAAACCAAAUUUUGAAGGACAGCUCAGACAAAUUUAUUUCUAACCAAAGAGGGCUUAACAACCAUACUAUUUGGGCCACUGUGUAAUGUAAGAGAAUGUGCGCAGUAUUUUCAUCAGACUCGCCAUAUCUUCUGCAAAUAGGAUCAACAGGGAUUGUUCUUCUAAUAAGGGCCAAUUUGAUUGGGAGCUGGUCAGAGCACGCCCAUAUUUUUGGAUAACUUAUUCUCUCAAGAGGGACUGUUUUUCUAAUAAGGCCAACUUUUCCUUUGUAAUUACGUUUUCUCAAAGUCUAUAUUUUUGGAUAACUUAUUCUUUUUGCCAUUAUUUUUUGUUAUUAUUUUAAUAACAGUCAAAUCUAAAUUUUUUUUAUCAUGGAAAAUUUUUAGUAACAAAAUACUUAUCAUUUUUAUUCCUAAAAUAUCCUCAUCUUUC
rnacentral:lncRNA from 1 species